rnacentral:tRNA from 1 species
GGGAUUGUGGCUUAGCGGUAGAGCACUCGCCUAGCGCGUGUGAGGAGCUGGGUUCGAUCCUCAGCACCA